rnacentral:rRNA from 1 species
GACAGAGGGUGCAAACGUUGUUCGGAAUUACUGGGCGUAAAGGGCGCGUAGGCGGCCCGCUAAGUCGAACGUGAAAUCCCCGAGCUCAACUCGGGAACUGCGUCCGAUACUGGCGGGCUUGAAUCCGGGAGAGGGAUGCGGAAUUCCAGGUGUAGCGGUGAAAUGCGUAGAUAUCUGGAGGAACACCGGUGGCGAAGGCGGCAUCCUGGACCGGCAUUGACGCUGAGGCGCGAAAGCUAGGGGAGCAAACGGG